rnacentral:lncRNA from 1 species
ACCAGAGUAAGUAUGAAUAUUUAAAAAAAAUUUUUACAAGAUUCAUAAAUAAACUCGAGUCGAGCCAAUCUAGCAUAUGAUCGAUGAUGGGGUUUGACGAGUUCUCCAUGACCUCCGUCAAGUUGGGACUCUCGAUAGAGGGAUUGUAUCACACGAUAACUGCACAUAGGGGUUCACUUUUCUGUUCUACUGGAUUACUACUACAUAUUGCUAGACAUCACUGGUGGAUUGUGAGAACUCACUAAGAUCAUUUUCGGAUCAACGAUCUUUGUUGAGGUGAGUUGGAACCAUUUCAGCCCAUC